AUAUGCUUACAUUUGGACAUCAUCAUCUGUUUGUAUAAAAACAUCAAAACACUGUGUUGUGGAGAUUAGUAAUGAACCUUAUCCAAAAUUGUUACAAGUUGUUAUAUGAAGAAUAAAUUCAAGUCUUUGAAAACAACUUCUCAAUAAUUCAUAAAACCAGUCAGAAAUGGGAAACUAUAGUAAAUUUUUUUUACCAAUUAUUAUUUAUUUUUAAGAUGCAUAUUAGACUCCAAUUUAAUAUUUUGCAAAGAAUUCCUAAAGUUCCAUUUUUAUUAAAUUACACUAACAAUAUAAAUAUAUUCCAUAGGUGGUGAAUGAGAAACAAAAUUUCUCUCAAUUUCUUCUCUUUUCUCGUCUCUUUUUCGGAAAAUAAUCGGAAUUAAUUUUACCUUGAUUUUUUUUUUUGAAGUGCUAAUUUCGAACUAGUUAUGGCAUACCUAUUGCUUUAGUAAUAUUUUCCUGUUUUCUUUUUGGCGUUAAGUUCCAACUUUUCUUGCUAUUUAUACUAAUUGUGGUUUUGGGAAGGAAAUAUGGUCAAGUAGUAGUAGAAAAUAGAAAUAUUGAUCUUGAAUGGAUCCUUAUGAAAUGGAUUUACGGAUCCUUAUGAAAUGACAAAUUAAAGUCUCUAAACUUUCCAUGUUUUUAGCAAUAAAAAACUGUCUUGUCUUUAUGGAGAAAAUUCUUCCAUGAUAUACCUUAGUGUACUAGUAGUAUAUAUAUAUGUGUAUAUUAGAUUUGGACGUCUACUUAGAAAAUAGAACAAGUUAAACUUAUGAUUAUGCAUUUGUAUCCAAUGAUGAAAUCGGAAUCUUGUGUGUAUUGUCGGUACAGAAUAGUAUCCGACUCAUUGAAUGAAGAUAUAGUUGUAACAUGUAAAUAAUGUACUCGCCAUAUAUAUUUUGUUGCUCAAUGUAGAUUGUAUGAACUUCGUUAUGGUUUUGUUUGUGUUUAUUACUGCAUAUACGUGAUUAUAUUUCGUCCUUGGCAAUCUCCAUGGAAUUUGGUGUUCCAUGCUGAUGACUGCUUGUCUAUGCGGGAAUGAUACUAAACGUAUUUUGGUUUUAUUGGUGAAGAAAGUGAGAAUUACAAGAUGAACCGUUGGAUGUUGAAAUGAAAAGCNNNNNNNNNNNNNNNNNNNNNNNNNNNNNNNNNNNNNNNNNNNNNNNNNNNNNNNNNNNNNNNNNNNNNNNNNNNNNNNNNNNNNNNNNNNNNNNNNNNNGUUACAUAAGCUCGUAAAAUCCUCCUCUGUUUAACUUUCUUAUCUCGAUGAAUGUAUGCUGCUUUAACGAGUCACAGCCGUCAAUUGAUAUCUGCAGUUACGUGUUAUUCGUAUAAUAAGUAUGUAGAAUAAUAGUUUGGUUUUGUUGCAAGCAGCAAACGAACACAGCUGACAUGUUAGAAGAAGCAGUAGUCUAUGUAAAGUUCCUGCAGAAACAGAUCCAGGUUAUUCAUUCAUUAUUAUUAACCUAUAAAGUGAUCAUAUCCAUGUAGAAAAUUUUCUCCAUGGUUGUUGUUGAUGGUUCCUUGAUUACCUUAGCUUUACGAGCUAAGGUAAUCAAUCAAUCACACUUAUCACUGACUCAGUUUGGCAUAUUUUUGAUUCACUUGCAUCACACUUGUCUUUGAUUCUGUUGAAUUUAACUUUCAUUGGAAAACCAUGUGCAUUUGCAGGAACUUACGGAGCAUCAGAAGGAUUGCAAAUGCUUAAUUAAUGAUUGACCGAAACGACAGACCAAGACCAAUUUGUGUGGUAUGUUACUCAAAAUCCUACUUACUACAUACCAAUUUAUAGAUGAUCUUUGCUGUGGGAAAAGCAAAGCUAUUGUGGGGACCAGUACCUACUUACUACAUACCAAUUUAUUAUUGUUAGGAACUAUUUAAUUUAAUAAUUUAUUUUAAUUUUUAAUUAGGAACUAAUUAUUUUACUAAUUUUGUUUAUUAUUAUUACGAACUAUUUAAUUUACUAGUUUGUUGUUUUGUAUUUUAAUUCACUAGUUUUAUUAUUUGAAUUUAGAAACUACGUACAACUGAAGCAAUUAAAGUACAUAUUUAAACAACCUUACAAACAAUCUUACAAAUUUAAUACAUUCCAAAAACAUAGAUUAAACAUAUAAAAUGCAAAACACAACGCUACAAAUUUAAAUAUUCCAAAACAUAAGUUUGAAUGCAAAAUUAAAACAAAUAUAAAUUUAAACAUAAGUUAAACUUUCAAAUACCCGGCAGAUGGUUAUGAUUACCAUUACUCACACUCAAUCGCCAUAAUCCAUCCUCCGUUGAUUUUUUGCCAAUUAACCUGAACGGACAAGAACGUUUCUUCAAUAGUCCGUGUCGUCCAGAUUGAUAUCUUGCACACGUUAAAACAUGAUAUUUUUCUGAUUUACAAUGAUUAAUCAGACUUCUAUUCCGUCUUGUUUGCUUAUUCCCCCUCCCCCUACAUUUAUAUUUCAUUGUCUUGUCCAUUGCUUGCAGUUGUUCUGAUAGUGUCUUAACUUAAAGCUAUUGCUGGGAUCGAGACAUAUUGGGGAAGAUGAUCUAAUUUGUGGUUUAUUUGUUUCAUAUGAAUUCCAUCAACCUUUUUGUGUGCUAAUACCCCUCACUGUCUUGAUGUUUUAUAUCGUCUUGUCUGGUAAAUGCAGUUGGAUAUGAGGUUUAGAGUCUUGUUUUAAAAGCUGCUAAUGGGAUGGAUCCUUAAUGGGGAAGAAAUUAUAAUUUGUCAUCUAAUUUUAUUCGACUGCUUUACAAUGAUUAAUGGUAUGCUGGAAUUCUCUAUCCACACAAUUUUUUUCUAUUAACUUGUUUGAUUAAUAAUUACAGAGACUAAUUGUUUUCGUAUAUUCAGUCAAGUUACCGGACAUGCUCUCGUGUAUGCAUAUCGAAACCGAGACACCAACGGAGCUGCAGCAAAGAUUGAACGAUUUGCUCAGGUGUAAUGAAUUACGAAUUGUUUGAUAUUAUACAUACACAUAUAUUUUCUGUAAAUAUAAAACGAAACUUGCGAAUCUUGCAAUACAGGUUUCUCCAGAGCAACCAAGGAGCAUUUUUCAAUUCAAAUUACCAGAAAUCGGAAGGUUUUGUGGGUGCUGUAAAGAAAGAAGAGAAAUAGGUAAUAUGUUUGGACUCUUAUUCAGUUAUAUAUGCUAUCUACCAAUCAUAUGCUUACAUUUGGACAUCAUCAUCUGUUUGUAUAAAAACAUCAAAACACUGUGUUGUGGAGAUUAGUAAUGAACCUUAUCCAAAAUUGUUACAAGUUGUUAUAUGAAGAAUAAAUUCAAGUCUUUGAAAACAACUUCUCAAUAAUUCAUAAAACCAGUCAGAAAUGGGAAACUAUAGUAAAUUUUUUUUACCAAUUAUUAUUUAUUUUUAAGAUGCAUAUUAGACUCCAAUUUAAUAUUUUGCAAAGAAUUCCUAAAGUUCCAUUUUUAUUAAAUUACACUAACAAUAUAAAUAUAUUCCAUAGGUGGUGAAUGAGAAACAAAAUUUCUCUCAAUUUCUUCUCUUUUCUCGUCUCUUUUUCGGAAAAUAAUCGGAAUUAAUUUUACCUUGAUUUUUUUUGUUGAAGUGCUAAUUUCGAACUAGUUAUGGCAUGCUUCCAAAUAAAAAAUAGAACAGUUAAUUAAGUAAUUAACAAUCGGUAAUCAGUUCAUCCUCUCCAUUGUGUUUUAAACUAUUUCGACAUAAAAUUUUAUAGCGGUAGGCGCUUCUGCUUCUGCCGGCGGCUCCUCCUCCAUCUGUACACAAACAACACUACCCGGAAAAUUAUUUUUCUACGAUCGAAAAAAAACCCACCAUUAUUUCCCCAUUUCCUCUGCUUUUCCAUGGUUGCAUUUUGAAGAUCUAAGCCUCUCAUUAUUCAUUAACUCAACUCUUGAUUACCGUAAUCAAUUAAUUAAUUAAUUAAUCCUGCUUAUCCCCA
rnacentral:lncRNA from 1 species